rnacentral:rRNA from 1 species
AUGUGGUUUGUCCACAAGCAAGUAAUACUCACAAAGGACAACUUACUUAAGAGGCGAUGGGUACGCAACUCGCGGUGUUGUUUUUGUGCUCCGGAUGAGACAAUACAACAUUUAUUCAUUAAAUGCCCACUUGCCAAGUUACUUUGGAGAACGAUUCAUAUAGCUUUUAAUAUUAAUCUCCCAGUAGAUAUUGCGUCUUUGUUUGGGACGUGGUUAGUUGGGUUUGAACAGAUCACGGCAGCUCGUAUUCGGAUUGGAAUAUGUGCGUUACUGUGGGCUAUAUGGAACUGCAGAAAUAAUAUGAUUUUUAACAGACAAAACAACUUAACUUUUUUGCAGGUUAUCUUCAGAGCUACAGUUUUGGAUCCGUACGUGGUCCUUACUCACUCUUAUGGACUCCAGGGAGCCUUUGGUUACUGGGUGCAACCAAUGGGAGAUGGUGGCUCGGACUAUAUUCAACCGGUUCAGAUGGCGUUCGCAUAA